UACGAAGGGGGCUAGCGUUGCUCGGAAUCACUGGGCGUAAAGGGUGCGUAGGCGGGUUUUUAAGUCAGGGGUGAAAUCCUGGAGCUCAACUCCAGAACUGCCUUUGAUACUGAAGAUCUUGAGUCCGGGAGAGGUGAGUGGAACUCCGAGUGUAGAGGUGAAAUUCGUAGAUAUUCGGAAGAACACCAGUGGCGAAGGCGACACACUGGCCCGUUACUGACGCUGAGGCGCGAAAAGCGUGGGGAGCAAACAGG
rnacentral:rRNA from 1 species